UGGGGAAUAUUGCACAAUGGGCGCAAGCCUGAUGCAGCCAUGCCGCGUGUGUGAAGAAGGCCUUCGGGUUGUAAAGCACUUUCAGCGGGGAGGAAGGCGUUAAGGUUAAUAACCUUGGCGAUUGACGUUACCCGCAGAAGAAGCACCGGCUAACUCCGUGCCAGCAGCCGCGGUAAUACGGAGGGUGCAAGCGUUAAUCGGAAUUACUGGGCGUAAAGCGCACGCAGGCGGUCUGUCAAGUCGGAUGUGAAAUCCCCGGGCUCAACCUGGGAACUGCAUUCGAAACUGGCAGGCUAGAGUCUUUUAGAGGGGGGUAGAAUUCCAGGUGUAGCGGUGAAAUGCGUAGAGAUCCUGAGGAAUACCGGUGGGGAAGGCGGCCCCCUGGACAAAGACUGGCCCUCAGGUGCGAAAGCGUGGGGAGCAAACAGG
rnacentral:rRNA from 1 species